rnacentral:rRNA from 1 species
GAGCGGCGAACGGGUGAGUAACACGUGAGCAAUCUGCCCUGCACUUUGGGAUAACCGCCGGAAACGGUGGCUAAUACCGGAUAUGACUGCGUCUCGCAUGGGGUGUGGUGGAAAGUUCUGGCGGUGCAGGAUGAGCUCGCGGCCUAUCAGCUUGUUGGUGGGGUAAUGGCUCACCAAGGCUUCGACGGGUAGCCGGCCUGAGAGGGUGACCGGCCACACUGGGACUGAGACACGGCCCAGACUCCUACGGGAGGCAGCAGUGGGGAAUAUUGGACAAUGGGCGAAAGCCUGAUCCAGCAACGCCGCGUGAGGGAUGACGGCCUUCGGGUUGUAAACCUCUUUCAGCGCAGACGAAGCGAAAGUGACGGUAUGCGCAGAAGAAGCACCGGCCAACUACGUGCCAGCAGCCGCGGUAAUACGUAGGGUGCGAGCGUUGUCCGGAAUUAUUGGGCGUAAAGGGCUCGUAGGCGGUUUGUUGCGUCGGGAGUGAAAACUCAGGGCUUAACCCUGAGCCUGCUUCCGAUACGGGCAGACUGGAGGUAUGCAGGGGAGAACGGAAUUCCUGGUGUAGCGGUGAAAUGCGCAGAUAUCAGGAGGAACACCGGUGGCGAAGGCGGUUCUCUGGGCAUUACCUGACGCUGAGGAGCGAAAGUGUGGGGAGCGAACAGGAUUAGAUACCCUGGUAGUCCACACCGUAAACGUUGGGCGGCUAGGUGUGGGACUCAUUCCACGAGUUCCGUGCCGCAGCUAACGCAUUAAGCG